rnacentral:RNase_P_RNA from 1 species
AGCGCAGACCGCUCUAUCGCUUUUCCCGAUUCGUCGGGGAAGGAGGAAAGUCCGGGCAACGCAGGGCACCAAGUUUCUUAAUGGGAAGGCGGGCGAAAGCUUGCAGUAGUGUAGCAGAAAAUAACCGCCCCGAGUACUCGGGGUAAGGGUGAAAAGGUGAGGUAAGAGCUCACCGGUUCCGGGGGUGACUUCGGAAGCCGUACACCUCUUGGGUUGCAAGACCAAAUAUAUCACGACCAGGGGCGGCCCGUCCCAUUCCGACUUAGUCGGAAGUCGUGAGGGGUAGGUUGCUAGAUCGUAGCAGUGAUGCUGUGGCCAGAUAAAUGAUAGAGGCUCUUCGUUUUUUACGGAGAGUACAGAACCCGGCUUACAGGUCUGCGUUUUUU